UUUACUCCUGAACAGCACGCCUGCGUGCAUCCAGACGUCCGUCCGUGGGUGCUGUCUGACCCGAGAGCUGAGUCAGCACUUGGAAGGUACAUGAAAAGGUUCUCAGCAUCACCAAUUAAGAGGGAAAUGCACGUCAAACCACAAUGAGCUGUUGCCUCACACCUGUACGGAUGGCUGCCAUCAAAGGGAAAAGAGGAAGGGGGCUCAGCUUCUUCACGACACGUCUGAAGACCUUGAGAGCCGCUGGCACAGAGCGGGAUUGCUGUGAAAUAAGAUUUUUAAGCAAGACACACAAGACACAUUUUUCUUGUCUCCUAAUGCUGAACUUCGUAAGGUGCACAUGACCGGUGUGGCUUUUCCUCCUCUUUCUAGGGGGACGGCGGUCAUAACAACGAUGGUUAGCGCGUGCUGAGCCUGGAGUCCUCUGAGUGCUCAAUAUCUACUCCCCCAUUGCCUUCCCCCCAGGAAGAUUUGUAGGGACUGCAGAUGUCCUGGUUUAUUUAUAGAAGAGGAAACAGAGCUACCAAGAGGCUGAGGAACUUAUUCCAAGUCUCUCAGUUAAUAAGACCUCCAGGCUGCAUGCGGUUAAUCACCACGAGGCUUCUUGUGCAGGAAACUUUGCAGCCUCCAAGGUGACAUCUGCUUUCUUCUCCUCAUCAUCCAAGGUAAAAUAAUUCAGGGGCAUGUCUAGAGCUUCUGUAACUCUCUGCGUUGUCUGAUGGUUUCCAGAAUGGCACGUCAGUCUAGCUUGGCAUCUCCUGCACUCUCUUCUGUCUUUCCGUCCUCUCCCCAGACAGUAAAAGCCUUCACUCAGACGGCUGGAGGGAGCAACCUAGAGAGAGAGGCCACACAGCACAGCCGUGACGCUUCCCGCCUCCCUGGGCAUUCGAAGUUGAGAGAGGACAGUCGUGAGACGGUCCAUAGUUCUCAAAUCAGUGGCAUGUGCGUCAACUUUGUGUCUGGUGUGGGGAGGGGGCAAGAUGGACACUUAAAAGUGAGAACUCUGGUCCUCUUACCAGUUCUGCAGCCUCUUCAGCUCGAUGACAGGCUGGAAAUGCUUCUCCACUUCUACUCUGUACCUCCUAAUUGAAAUAUUUGGAGGUUAUGAGCCUCUUCUUGGAACUGGUUUGCACCAACAUGGAGUAGAAAUAGAUGAAAUUCAAAAUUAAAAACAAUCCCAGGAACAAAGAGCCCAUCUUUAGAGGAGUAAGAUGCUAUUUUGGAAUGCAGCAUCUAAAAAUCUCCAUUUUCUCUCUUGGCCCUAUAGCUCCAUCACCAAGGUUUUAUCCUCUGGCAGCCUUGGGCCUUUCCUUUAUGAAGAUGCUGAUCACAGGAUGAGCUAGGCUGAGCUUUCUUCAGGAAGGUGUUCCUGCACGGGCAGAACAGGCUAGCGGGGUGAAUACAAUUUCAAGGGUGUUUCUGAACACCGAAGUGAUGGAUAGAAUGUUUGUCAGUGCCCUCAAGUGUGUCCGGAGCAUGGUUUAUAAUGAGGGUGCCACUUGCCGGUCGUUCCUGUGCAUUCCCCAGCUCGGGCUCCCCAGGACUGCACUGGGAGGUGCGCCCUGAUUUUAGUUACGACACGUAAUUGACAGUAAUCAGCCUGGAUAUGCAGUUGACAUGUAUUAUCCUCCGACUUUUUACGACUUCACAUUACCUUGUUCCCAGCCCCUUGCCUUCAGUGUUUCCCAAACCAAACUCCUCUUUGACAACCUGUCCUUCUUGUCCAAGUUCGAAACCUUGCUGGGUUUUCAAAUCAACCCUCAACCCUCCCUGUCAUUCAGAACCAAGUCCUGUUUCUUUGACUGCCUGAGCGCCCCUCUCUUGGUGGCACGUCUCCAAGGUGGCCCCAGCCCAGCCCCUGCCGGCUCCGCCCGACGGCUCCCUGGACUUUUGCUACCUUGCUCACUGCCUCCUCUUGACCUCGCCCACCCGAGGAGCAGCCUUGCUUCUCCCCUUUGCACAACUGCACAAAGUGUCAAAGUGACUCGAAAAUGACAGCAUGUGGAUCCUGCCUUUAAGAGCUUACGGUUUCAGCUCGUCCUCUGCGUUGUGUCUAGAGAGGUCCCCCUAUGACAUAUGUCACCUGGGCCCCCCGGCCCCGCUUCAUCCCUCAUCCCCACUAGCGGAGGACCUCCAGCUCCCAUCGGAGCACCUAUAAUUAUGUCUGCAUGUCCCGGAGGGUGUGUGCAGUCUCCCUGACAGCCUGGGUACUUCAUGGGGGCCCACUGUUGGCUUCCUUGCCAGCUCCCCCCUCUCCUGCAGGGCUGCAUCACUCCGCUGCCACCGACUCAGCUCUCCCACCUGGGCCACCUGGGACCCU